UGAGAUUCUUAUCAUUCUCACAUUCUUGAAGAAAUUCCACCACGAACUUAAGUUCCAUUAUAUCGUACAUGAAGAAAGAAUCCAUAUAAGCCAUAAGCUCAUCAUAUCCACCAGGGUCAAAUGGAAAUUUGGAAAAAUCAUCAAAUGUAAUAAGUAGUGAAACAUAUUUCCAUUUUGAACAAUUAACAUCUUAUCACAUUUAUGGUCAAGGUAAGAAAUUCUAAAGAUGAGAAUAAAGUUACACCUUUUGAAGUUGAUAUUCAUAACUAAAUAUACCUUCUUUGGAUUGAAAUUUGUGGCAAACAAUAUGUUACUUUGUAUUUGUAAAGGCUUCAAAUAAAGUUGAGUCUUAUGAACAUUAUCUUCAUUACAAACAAAUGGUGACUCAAUAAUUUUCUUACAAGUUUCCUUUUGAGAAAUAUUUGACCAAUCACCUUCAAGUACUAACAUUGUUUCAUUCACUUCACUCUAUUGUUUAAAGAGACUUUCAUUUUUAUCAUCAUUUUUCUCUUUGCUUUCAAAGUCAAUGUAUUAAUGACAUUCCUUCUUUAAAGACACUUCUUCAAGCACUUGCGCAAAAGAAUUAUCAAAGUUAGAUAAAUAGUUGUAGUCAAUAUCUUUCUCUUUAUCUCUCAAAUGUUUUUCAUCUUCUUCUUUCUCUCUCAAGGCUAAUUUAUCUUUUUCCUCUUUCUAUUUCUUUUCUUUGAUUUUCUCUUUCUCUCUCAAGGCUAGUUUCUCUCUGCAUACCUAUUUUCAUAAAGAUACUCGACAUACUCUGGAUCCAAUACAAAAUUUCUAAUAUAUUCAUGAUAUGAUAUACUUCUCUUUUUUUCUUGAUCCUCAUUUUUAUAUUAUACAUGACUUUUCUAUUUUGCAUACCUUGUAUCAUUCUCAUCAUAAUCUUCACAUCUUCUUUCUUUUUCUCUAAAUCUCUUCUCAUGCUUCAUUUCCUUCUCAUCAUAAUAUUUAUAUCUUCUUCUCUCCUUAUGAAAUCUAUGUCUAAUUUUUUCCCUCGAUUUUGAAUCCAUCUUCAUUUUGAGAAGAUCUUCCAUGAUGAGAUCUCUUAUCUCUUUGAUUUAUAAGCCCUUCUCUCAAGGCAUUUAUUUGAGUAUUCUAAAUUUUUGCAAAAUGAUCCAUAAGAAACACGGUUCUAGAAGAAGGAGGAUUUGGUUCACUUCCACUCCUGAUGUCAACAACAACAACAAGUACCACAAUAAUCAAGUAAAUGACAAGAACUCGUUAAGGAAAUAAAAAUAAAGCCUUCACCACUCAUUAAGUGUUUGCACUCAAGAAAUGUAAUACUCGUGCAUAUCACUCAAUGAUGGUUUUUUUUUUUAAUGACGUGCACUCUUGUCUUUUUCCACUCAAACUCCUCUUUCAAAUUCUUAAAAAGAAACAAAUCAACAAUUCAAACACAAUGUAACAAAUCCACACAUGCUAUCACUACAAGAGUUUCAAGAAGGAAAACACUAAGACAAAACUUAGAGAAUUUAAAAUGAGGAACAAGAAAAACUAAGUAUAUGGAGACACAACCAAGUAGAUUAUCAAAGAAAUAAAAAAGAUUAUAACUAAAUGACUAAGUGAUAUAAAUAUGCGAGUUGACAAAUAUGUGAGGAGUAAAUUACUAAGAUAAAACAUGCAAUUCCUAAUAAAGACAAUAGUGAUUGAUGUAUCAAAGUGAACCAAUUCUGGAUUUUUUUUAAAAUGCCUUUUUUUCAAUAAGGGCUUAUGUACAAAAUCACUUUUUCAAAGAUCUUAUCUGUUCGGAUUGUUCUCUACAUAUUUGAAUUCUUCUCAUUUUUCUAAUCAAUUUAGGCUUUUGAAUUUUCAGAAUCGGACACGUAUGGAAGAAAUAACAUUAAAAACGAAUUUACAAAUGAAAUUUUGGAUCAAAGAGAGUUGUAAGUGAAGAUGAUGAUGCAAUGCAUAAAAAAUUUCUGCGAAUUUUUUUUUCCAGCAACUCAAGAUUUUGAAUUUCACACCAAAUGAAGCAAACAAUCGUCAAAUUAAACCUUUUCACACAUAUUAUAACACUUAUAAUCAAUUAGCAACUCAAGAUUACACAAAAACAAAUAUCAAGUUUCAAGAAAUUAACCUACAACUUCAAAUUUUCCAAGGACUUCAAAAUCUUAAAAACAAAUAUUAAUAACAAAUAUUACCACUUGGUGACAAACUCUGAAUACCAAGUGAUGUGGAUUUGAGUACUUUCACAUGAGAUUGAAGAUCUACCCAAAUAGUUUCUUCAAAUAAAAUGACAAAAAAAUAAGGAAAAAUAAAGAAACAAAAAUGGAUUAGGUUGAGAAUAUGAAGAAGGCGCCACAAUCAAGGAUGGUUGAUAAGCCAAUGAAGAAUCGUCACAAUGGUAAGAAAGUCAUUGAAUAGAUUCAAGCAAGUUAUAAUUCAAGAACUUAAAGAGGAGACAUAACUCACUCACAAUUCUCAUUAGAGAAAUUCUAAUUCAUUCAAACUUUUUUUAAUGAGGUUAAAAAUUCAUAUUUAUAGUAAAAUCAUCUCUAAACCUAAAUGGAGUCAUAAGUGACACCAUUCUCUUUGCCCAAAUUAGGCUUACAUCAUAUUUUUCUAAAAUAAACUAAAUAUAAGGAAGCAAAGUAUCUUCACUUACAUAUAACAUCAACUAAAUCUAUAUUAAAACUAUUACAAUUCCAAAUUAAAACAAACUAAGAAUUAUUAUAAAUCAAAUAAAAAUAAAAUUCAUCCUAAUUUAUUAAAAUAUGGAUCAUCCUCAUGCUCUUGAGAUCUUUAUCACAAGGUACCAUUUUAUUAGAGAAUGCGUUGCCAAGAAGAAAGUUGAGCUUAAAUAUGUGAAAAAUCAAGAUUAAGUUGUAGAUAUUUUUACAAAACCAUUAAAAUUUGGAGACUUUCAAAGGCUAAGAGCAAAACUUGGAAUGAAGAAGAAAAUUUCAAAUUAAGGGGGAGCAAUGUUAUUACUAAUUUUAAAUUAGAUAAGUCUAGAACCAUAUAAAAUUUCUAUGUAAUAAUCUAGAAGUGCUUUAGUUACAGAAAAAUAUGGGAAGUAUCUAGAAAUGAGUAUUAAUUAGGAAGCUCCUAAAAAUGUGUCUAGAGUUAUCUAUUUGUACCUAUAAAUACCUCUUAUACUUGACAUCAUCAAGCAAAUUGUGAGUUUUCUAUUAGAAAUAUUUUCCUUCUUCUAAUCAAAGACUGGUGGUGCAUAAGAUGGAGUUAGAGGAAAAACCAAAGAAUUUUGGAUUUCACUGAGCGUUGGACACAAGCGAUGGAGACAUUGUCUUUCCGCUGUGUGGAGGCAAUACUAGAUGGAUGAUGACACUAUAAACUUGUUUGGAACUCUUUAUUCCAACCAUAUUAGAGUAGUUCAUAUUGAAUUAAGUUGAAAAACUGGAGGGAGUGUCCCUAAAGAUGACACCAAAUGAUCUGAGGUAGGAUAAGUUGUUGAGGCAAAACCUCUAAUUAUUAUUUUGAAGAUGAUGACUCUUCAUCAUAUGCAUAUUUUCCCACUAUAUUAGUCUUAUUUAUCCUCAAUCAUCAGUUAAAUUAAGGAUUUAUUUGAUACAUUUUGUUGAUUUUUGUUCUUUGAGUUAAUAAAAUGUUUUUUAUUUUUAUUUCGUUGAUUAAGUAGGAAUUUGUCGUAAUUUUACAUUGCGUUUUGUUUUAGUGCAGUGCUGAAUUUUGGUGAAAAAUCAACAUGAUAUAUGUGGAGUAUUUCAGCUAUAUCUGGAGUUCUAGAUGUCCAAUUAGUGUCACUCCAAGUGCUAAUGAACGCUAAGAUCCAUAUCUACAACUUGCAUGAAGACACCUGGACCAAAUUCAGACGCAAAAGAUGAGAAAAAUGCAAAAUACAUCAGACAGCAGAUGCUGAGUGCUGGAGCGCGCCCAAGCGCAAGCCAAGCGCUUUUUCCAGCAUAUGCUACUGCCCAAACGCGCUGAAGCGCGUCCAAGCGCGCCUGGGCGCGCGACCCGCACCAGCAACCAUAAAAACGCAUAUUUUUACUAUUUUAGGGAUCUUUUUGACUAUUGGGAAGUUGGAAGACUCUUGCCCUAGCAUAGAAACUCAAAGACGGCCGUUUCUGACGCCAUUGGAGCAGUUUUAUCAAGAAUCAUUCAUGAAUCCUUCUUGUAAUUCUUCUCUAAUCUUUAUCUCUUUUAUUUCUGUCAUGAGUAACUAAACCCUAUUUGUUAGGGAUGAGUGUAACAAGAUGAAACCCUUAUUUUUAUGAUUUGAUUUCUAGUUAUAUGAAUGAGUUUAUUGAAUAAUUUUUCUCAUCUCCGUGCUUAAUGCUUUUUAUUGCUUGAUCAACAUUAAAAUGUUCUACGAUUUGUAUUUUGAAACGGAAGUGGACUUUACGAAUGCUUGAGAUGAGAAAUUCAUGAAUUUGUAGUCUAGACAUAGGUGCAGGUCAUGAAACCAAUUAAAUUAGUUGCAAAGCAAUAAUUUUCAAGAGAAUUUCUAUACGGUAAUGCUUAAUUCUAAUCUUAAAUCUACUAAGGAAUUAGGGGUUACUUUGGAAUUAAAGGUUAUGUCACUAAGACAUUAGGGCAAGAAUAAUAAAGACAAUUCGGUAAUAAUUCAAUAAAGGAUUUCAAUAACUAGGUUCAAAUUAGACACCAAGGUUGGAUUCGAAGUGAAACUCAUCCCUGACAUUUUUCUCAAUUUAUAAAGGAUCAAUUUUACUAUUGCUGUCAAUUCUAAAUAUUAUUUCAAUCAACUUGGGAACUUUUUGUUCAAUUUUAGUAACUAAAUAUAAUUCAAUAGUAAAACGCAAUCCUUGAGUUCGACACUCGGUACUACCGUUUUAUUAUUACUUGCAACGAUUCAGUACACUUACUGAAACGCUAUCAGAAGACAAUCAAACAUUUAAUUAGAUUGUUAAUCAUGAUUCUAGAUAUAUUAUCUAUUAAAUUGUGUGUGUUGAGUGAUCAUCUAUUUAAAGAUAGGAAAUCAAACUCAAGCAUGCAUAUUCAUGCUAAAAUAAUGCGGUCUUUUUCAAAGCAAUCAAGAAAAAUUUGGUCAUAAUUUGUGAUCCCAUAUAAUACUAUAUCAAGAUAAACAUUCACUUUGUAAUGUCCAGAUGUUUUGGAAGAAUCUUCAAAAGGAAUGUCAAAAUGAUUGGAGAAUGAUCAAAAGAACAUUAUGGUUGUCCUUUAUUAAAGACAAAGUUAAAACACAUUAGUUUAGGAAGUCCAUUUGUAAGAUAAUAAUGUCAAAUUGACACAUGGGGCUGUUGAGAUUUAAUGAGAACUUAAAUGACUCAAAUUGAGGGCUCAAUUGGUUAAAACAAGCUUCAGAUUGAUCUCAAGAUUGAUGAAUUGUAAGAAAGGACAAAAAGACAUUAAUAAGCCAUACUAGCAUUGCUAUUGCAAAAAGUUAUGUAUGUAUUUGAUCAAGUACAAUACUAACUGACAUUUAACAAGUCAUUCUCACACUCAUUCACGUUACCUUCAGAUUCAAGGUAAAAUGUUCUGGGUUGAUCAUGAAUGUUUUGAAUAGUAAUGCAAACAUGUGGUUACUGUGAUCAAAUCACAUCUCACACUUGGCAAGUGUGUCUAACGACUAUAUUCAACUUUAUUUGAAUUCUCAAGCUUCUUUUCCUCUAUAAAAGAAAAAUCAAUUAGAAGAUGAAGACAAGAGUUUCCAAAGCAAUCAAUCUACAUUUGAUCAAUUAAGCUCAAGUUUCAAAGCUCUUAUCUCAAGCAAAACUCCAGUUCUCUCACUAUAUUCGUGGAUCAUCCUAUUGGAUUUUUGCUGAUGAAUCAAUCUCAAAUCAAGAGUUGAGAAGUCUUAGAUCUCCAACACUUUUUAUCACUAUAUUCGUGGAUCAUCCUUUAUGGACUGAAAAGUGAUUGUAGAGAUUCUUUUUAAGAUUGGAAGGUGAAUGUUGUAAUUGAUCAAAGUGUGAUCAAGAAAGAUAGUACAUAGCAGAAUGUUCUGGUGCUAAAUACAUUGGUGGAAUAUCUCAUAGAUUGUGAGGACUGAAUGUAGUCCACCUCGGGUGAAUUAGGAUACAUCUUUGUGUAAUCUUCUUAUUCCUUCUCUAUAUUUAUCUUGUACUCACUAAUCACAUUUCAGUAACUUAUAAAUUGAACUGUCUUAUUUAAACUAACACAUUUAGAAUAUUAUGGAGUUUUAUUUUAUUUUAACCAAAAUUGUUCUUGGGUUAAUUAAAAUAAAGUGUAUGAUUUGAAAAAGGAUCACAAUUCAAAUUCUUCUUUUUUUGUAAUUGAUAUUGCUACUUCAUAAGUCAAUGAGUGAAGUUAAUAGAGUGAGAGGGAAUCGUGAGAAUAUCGUACAUGGCCCUUCAAAUUGUUUCCCUUACAAAGGAAGAUGAUGGAUGGAUUUUGGCAGGAAACGAUGUUGACAGUUGCGCUAGAACCAUUGUGGAAUGCAUAAAUAUGUUAGAUAUGUUCCACGCUUCAGAUUGUGGAGCGCGAACGAGUCUUAACACUUGUUGUUGUUUUUUAAUGGGCCUUACACACUUCAAAAUUGUGUUUGUUGUGGCCUAAUCCAAAGAAACUAAAUAUAGGAAUUUUAGUUCGAAAGUAUAUCGAAAAUUAUAUUUUCAACUUCUUAAAAAUUUAUAAUUUAUUAUUUUUUUUGACAAAGUUUUUAAUUUUUGUCUCUUAAUAAGUCUCACAGAAUGUCUAGCAUGAUCCUAAAAUAAAUACUCCAUUUUGUUGGCCAAAACCAAUAGGGAGGAGCAUAUAUGGGUGUUUUUCAAUUAAUGAAAAAAGUAUAUGUAUUUAUCACAUGCACACAUUCAAAAGUUAAACACUGAAUGACAUGAUAAAAGUUCCAAAACAUUUACAAUUACUAGAUUUUGUGGGCUUCUUUACGUGGUUGUUACAAACGUUUUUCAUUUUGAAAGAAAAAGUAAUAAAAAGUCCGUUUACUUUUCAUCUAUCAAGACUACUUACAAUAGCAUUUGACAUAGCUAAUGCCGUAAUUAUCCCUUCAAGUUGCUACUUUCGUUAAACGUUUAUCCAAAUUAAGGAAUUUGUUGGUUAUGGGAUCGCAACUACUUUACCUUCUUCCAGAAUAAAGACAACAACCACAUGAUUCAAAGGAUCCUAAUUCAUAAACUCUUUUUUUCAACAAAAGUUAAGGGAGUAAUUGAUUACAAAAGAAGUUAAUAUAACUAACAAAUGUAUAAAAACUUUUAAAAUUACUAUUUUCUUAGAAAUCGUAAGCUCUUUUCAAGACAAAGCUUCUAUUGUUAUAGUUUUUUUUUUUUUUUUAAUUUUUUUUUAUUUUAUUUAAUUUUUUAAUUUUAUUAUUUUAAAAAUAAAAUUUCAAAUAAAAAAUUAAUUUAAAUAAUUUAUUAUGAAGUAUUAUUUUAAGUAUUUCAUUUAUUUAAUACAACUAUUAUUAGAUAAUAAUAUUUAAAAAAAUAAUUAGAAUGAUAAUUUUUUAUAAAAAAAUGUGAUUUUUGUCAUAUUAAAAUAUAUAAUAAUAAAUAUUUAAGUUAUUAAAUAUUAAUUAUUUUUUAAUUUAUAAUAAAAUGAAUCUAAAAUAAUUUUUAUUAUUUUUAAAUAAAUGAUCAUAAUAAUAAUUUUUUAAAAUAUAAAUUUUUUAAAAAAUAAAAAAUAUUAAAAUCGGUAUUUAGAAAAAUACAAUAAAUGGGCACAAUAUUCACAAACUUUAAGUUAAGACAACAAUUUCUUUUCACAGAACUCGUUCUCAAGUCUCACAAUAUAAUAUCCAAAUUUUUAGACAUAAAGUUAGAUAGCAUCUUUUUAGACUUUCAUUUAUAUAUAAGUUAGUGUAAAAAGUUUUAUAAAAUAAAUAAAUUAUUAGCAAUCAUAUAAUAAUUUAAUAGAUAUAAUUGAUUAAAAGUAUAAAAAUCUUUCACAUCAGUAACAUAUAUAAAUUAAAUUAUCUUAAAAAGAAUAAAUAAUUUAGAAAUAAAAAAAUAAUUUAAAAAGGCAUUUCCCACCUCCCAUUGUCAGCACCGGAAGCAAUCGUUUAAUAUUCAUAAAUUCACAACUCAUUUUCUGGUUCGGGUUAAGUUUGUAUCCACUAUCCGUUUUUGUGUUUCCCGUUUCCAUUUCCGUUACCGUUUCAUCUCUCACCACCAGAAUCAAUUCAUUCCUUCACCACCGUCCAUUUACUUUCUUUCUGUUUCCCAUUUUUCCCAAAAAUAAAACAAAAAUUAAAAACAAUUCUUUUUUGUUUUUAAACUUCAAAGAAACCCGAGAUUUCGUCCCUAUAGAAUCUUCACUUCACCCAUUCUUAUAUCAAAAAUCAAACAUAAAAAAAAAACUCUUUCUCUUUUUCUUGUUCUUGUUCAUUUUCUUUUUCAUUCUGAAAAUGGCGACUAGUAUAGGGAUAAUGGAUAGUGCUUACUUUGUCGGUAGGAAUGAGAUUCUCACUUGGAUCAACAAUGGUCUUCAACUUAACCUUUCUCGCAUUGAAGAGGUAACAUAAUCAAAAUGUGGUUUUCUUUUUUAUUCUUAACAUUUUCUGCGUUUUCUAUUAUGCUAUAAUAAUAAUAAUAACCUAAAUAACAUUGCUUUCUACCCCUCCCCAGGGGGAGGGGGGUAUUUGUGUUGGUGAUGCAUUUUAAUAUGAAACCUUUGAUUCCACCUAAAUAGCAUUGCUUUUUACCCCUCUCUCAUAAAGGAGGGUUUAUUUUUAAAUGGUUUUAUUGGAAUAAGAAAACAAGCUUGUUUGGAUUGGGGUCAGUUUGGCGAAAUCCACGGCAGACAUUGUGAUUUGUUGAAGUUCUAAAAUGUAACUUUUGCCAAAAUCCGCAUCAAAUUCACGAAGAAUGCAAAUGUGUUUGGCAUUUAGGGGGGAUUGUUCUUUAGUGUAGACAUGUUGAUUGAAUGUGAAUAAGUUGAUUUGAAACACAAUAGGAUUUGUUUGAUCUGCAUGUUGAUUUUUGGGAGUUCACAUUUUGGACAUUUGAAGAAAUGAUUCAGCGUUUGUGUGAAAACAAAGCUUCAAUGUAUUUUUGGUUCGUAACAUUAUUUUUUAAAUUAGUCUGUGUUGCAUUUUUUAUGAACAGAGUUAAUUAAGCAGAAAAGAUAGACUUUACUCCCCCAGUUAUUACAAGUACAAGUUUUUGUUUAAUGCACCACGUAGCUUGUUUGUUACAGAUUUCCUGGACUCUCGAAGUUGUUUAUUGUAGAAGCAAGCCAUCUCUUAUAUUUCGAUAAAAUUUGCAUUAUAAAUCGUUAUCUGUUAAUUGUUGAAAGUCGAAACUGUCUCAAACAAACACACAAUGUUCGAGACAGUUUGGGCAGUUAAGGACGUCAGAUAAUUAUAUAUCCAACUGUUAAUGUUAAUGGUAGUGUGUUCAAGUUUGAGCAUUCACACAGGAUGCAGCUACCAUUGUUUAUGCAUCAAAUUUCUAGGUUAUUUCGUUAUUAAAAACGGGGGGCACAGUUAUGACUUCAAAGCUGACUAUUAUCUAUGAUGAAAGUAUACUUUCUUGUUCUCAGGCUCAUUAUGCAUAUUCCCUGUGUUUAUUGCUAGGCUGCAUCUGGUGCUGUGCAAUGCCAAAUGAUGGACAUGACGUAUCCAGGGGUUGUGCCAAUGCAUAAGGUUGCAACACAACUUUGCUUUUACUUUCUGUUUUGUCUCUCUUGUGAUAUUUCCUUUUAAUUACAAGCAAUUUUGAAAUUUGGGGUUCACUUUAGGUGAAUUUUGAUGCAAAGACGGAGUAUGAUAUGAUUCAAAAUUAUAAAGUUCUACAGGAAGUGUUCAACAAGCUGAAAAUUGAGAAGGUGUGUUUUUUUCCUUCCCUCCUAAUGUUAAGCUAAACACUUGGAAGAGAGCUUUGCUAUUGUGUAUAUGAAAGCAAGAAAUAACAGUGGGAUGGGGUGGUUCAUUAUAAAUAUUUAUUGUAGUAUGGUAUCAACAUUUCUUCUUUUAGGUUUUAAAAUAUCAUAAUUUAUUUAUAUGCAAGAAAAUCUUAUGUGAAAUAGUAUAAUUAUCAAGAUCUAGAAAUGCUGAUGAAAGAUAAUUUGAUAACUUGAUUCCCGUUCAUGCAUUUGGGCUUAUGUUAUGACAUUCACUUGGGUAAGUGUUUGAAGAGCUUAAAAAAUAGCCUAUAAUAUUCCUAUAAGUUAGCUUAAGCAGAGUUUGUCCCCUAAACUAUUUGAUUGUAAAAGCUUUUGGAAAUAGCUUGUACAAAGCUUAUCCCCAUAAAGUAUUUGAUUGUAGAAACUACUGAUACAUUAACUUUUGUAUGAUAAAUAAGCGCUCACCUAAAACUGUUCCAAACUGUUCAAUAUAUAUAAGCUUUAGUAUGAUAAAUGUUUAGUGAAUAAACCUUCAUCUAAGUUGUUUAUCCAAUGCCCCCUUUGUUCAUGCACAUUCCAUAUUUAAGGAGACUAUUUAUGUUUCCUCUUCCCCAAUUAUACCCUACACUUUCAUCACUAGUGGACUGCAAUUUUUUAGGGUUUUUUCCUUAGGCAGGGAGGUGCUUAAGCCUUCAUAAGAGAUUUGAUGGAGUACAAAGUUGGGGUGUGUUCUUGGUUUGAUGCUCAACAAUACUAGAUAUUUUAAUUUUUAGGCCAUGCUAUCCUAGCUUUAUUGGAUUUGGUUGCAUGUCUUUAAUGUCAGUGUGUGAAAGUUCUUGAUUUUAAAGUGAUUUAUUUUCAUGAUAUAAUAACUUCACUUGAGAAUAAAAACUAGUAUAAGAAAAUACUUUGGCACAAUAAGUAGUUGAUGCUUGCAUUUGUUGAGCUAAUGUGACUACCAUGUGGCAGCAUAUUGAGGUUAGCAGGCUUGUUAAAGGGCGACCUUUGGACAACUUGGAGUUCCUGCAAUGGCUGAAACGUUACUGUGAUUCUGUGAAUGGUGGCAUUAUGAAUGAGUAUGCUACUUGCUCUGUGUUCUUUCUGAUCCUUUAAACAGCUUUGAUUGAUAUUACUUGUAGGAAUACUUUAUUAUAUCAUUGCUAUUAUGAUGUAAUUGCUUGAAUUAUAUAUGUCGAAGUCCAAUGCAUAAUUUUCAUUACUAAUAUUUAAAUUUGCAUAACUAUGUUCUAUCUAUAUCUGUUAUCAAAGCCUUUUUUUUUUCUUCUUUUUUUCUGUAGGAACUAUAAUCCUGUGGAGCGUAGGGUAAAGGGUGGAAAGGACAAAAAUCCUAAGAGUUUAAGGAGCUCAAAGUCACUUCAAUCAAAUGCAAUGAAUAAUUCUGGGUCAAGCGAUGCACUCAGUCCACCUAGAAACUCAGGUUGGCUUAUUGGCAUCUAUGACCCUAAACUGUUGUGCAUUUUUUCCUAAUGGUUGUUUCAUGUUACUCUCCCUUUACUUUUUCCCUUUUUGAUUAAUGUACUUUUGAGUGUAGGACCUAAGCAAUCGAGGUCAAGUGGAGGAUCUGAUGGGGCUAAUUCAUCAGCAGAGAUUCAGGCCUUGUCCAAGCAGGUAUGACUCUGAAAGUUAUACUUGCUGCAACUGCUAUGAUUAUCAAAAUGGCAUACAAGAUAAAACUCCUUUAAGCAUUGAAAUCCAACUGUAAACAUAUUACUUAGAAUAGAAUUAUGAUAGAAUACUGCAAAUUAAGAGGAAUGAGGGCCCAAAGAGUGUGGCCCCACUCACCCAAGUCACACACCCCACACACAUUUAGUUUCUAGAAUGAUGGAUGGAGGGAAUAAAAGCUAGUUAAUAAUGUAUCUUAUUCUACUGAUAUUCUAUUAAAGGAAUGUGGGAAGAUGAAGUGGGAAAGACAUUCAGUUUCAAGAAGGAUGAAUGGAAGGAAUAAAAGCUAGUUAAUAACGUCUGACAAAGUUGAGGCUUUGGAGAUACGAAUGGCUGAGAUGGAAGGUUCGGUGCGUCAAACCUUGGAUGAAUUUCCUCAUGCCAUUUUGACAGAGUUUGCGAAACUGUUGAAUCAGCCUACACCUAGGGUGUCACAGACAAUCAAGCCGCCAAUUACAGAAUACAAGAUGGCGGUGCAGAAGGUGGAGCUGCCGUCAUUUGAUGGUGACGAUCCAGUGGAGUAGAUCAUGCGAGCAGAGACAUAUUUUGAGGUACAGGGAAUAUCUAAAGAAGUGUAGGUUCGUUUGGCGAAAAUUAGCAUGGAGGGAACACCCAUUCAUUGGUUUAAUCUUCUACGUGAAACGGAGGAUGACCUCACAUGGUUAAAGUUGAAGGAAGCGCUGUUUGAGAGAUAUGGAGGAAGAAAGAGCGAUAAUCCAUUCAAAGAAUUGAAAGAUCUUCAACAAACUGGAGAUGUGGAACAGUGCAUUUCAGAUUUUGAAUAUUUCUCUUCCCAGGUUAUGCGACUCCCCGAAGAAAAAUACCUUGGGUAUUUUUUGGGUGGCCACCAAUUAGAGGUACGUUUGCGAGUAAGGACCUUCAAUCCUAAGACACAUGUGGAGGCGAUGAAAUUGGCUCGUGAUGUUGAAAUAGAGUUACGGGGUGUGUUGAAUUACAGAGGAAGCAGAGGUGGAGGUCGUUCGCGAAACUGAAAAGGGGGAAGAGAAGGAAGUAAUGGGCUUACUAAUAGAAACAGGUCCGGACUGGGUCUUUUUCCAGGCUCAAACAAGGGAAAUGCGAGUUUUGGGCCAAGUGGGGGAACCCAAUCCAGAAAUACUCAAAUUGAGUCAAAUCCUAACCCGAAAUUGAGCAUGCAAAGAUCCAACUGGAAUUGGAACCAAACACGAACAAAUGGCGAUGAGGAGCGAUGGAGGAACCACGAAAAUCGAAAUAGGGGAACCAAUCAUCUUCACUAUUCUGAACUAAUGGAUCAUAAGGUGCAAGGCCUCUGUUUUCGAUGUGAGGAAGGUUCCAUCCUCUUCAUCAGUGUGCUGACAAAUAGUUGCGUUUGGUGAUUCUAGGAGAUGAUGAAGUGACAAACGACGCCGGUGAAGUCCUAGCUAUCGAACUGAAAGAAGGGGAGGACAACGCUGCAAUAAUGUGCAACUCCACGAUGCUGUUUGGAAUAGAAGAGAAAGGCAGAGCUCGAAAUUUGUUCCCUUUUCUCCUACAUUUGGAAGGUACCGUGAAGGGCAUACCAGUCACAAUGAUGGUGGACACUGGUGCUAGUCACAAUUUUGUGACUCCUCAAAUGGUUGCAGUUUUGCAACUUCCAGUAGAACAGAUCCCGAUUACGAACGCGAAAUUUGGAAACGGUUCCCAUGUGAUCAUAACAGAGAAGUGUGGGAAGUUUGACGCAAGGUGAGGACAUGAUUUUGGGAGUGGCUUGGCUGCAUAAGCCAGGCAAGGUGUUAUUUGAUUGGGAAGAAGUGGCAAUUUGCUUGGACUGGAAAGGGAAAGCUAUGAAGUUGCAAUGUCAAAAUCCGGAGAAUUGGAGAAUCAAUUAGGAAAAAGAACUUAAUUUUGUUACCACGAAUAUACUAAGGCCAAGAAAAAUCAUAACAUGGGAAGGGAAUAAGGAAACCGUCAGUUGGGAACCUGGAAGUCUACCACUGAAUCAAUGUCUUAAUGUUAGCCUUGAGGACAAGGCUCAUUUUGAAACGGGUGACAAUGAUAGAACACUGCAAAUUAAGAGGAAUGAGGGCCCAAAGAGUGGGCCCCACUCACCCAAGUCACACCCCACACACAUUUAGUUUCUAGAAUGAUGGAUGAAGGGAAUAAAAGCUAGUUAAUAAUGUCUCUCUUAUUCUACUGAUAUUCAAUUACAUGAAUGAGGGAAGGCGAAGUGGGAAAGCAUUUAGUUUCAAGACGGAUGAAUGGAAGGAAUAAAAGCUAGUUAAUAACGUCUCUUAUUUUAUGUUAUAAGAAUGAGAGAAUAGGAAGAGGGGAAGAUAUUCAGAAAAUAUUCUAAGAAAUAAUUAGGGGAAUUCUUUUAGUUAGGAGCAAUUAUGCUCUGAUUUAGGAGUUCUUAGAACUCUUGUUCAGUUUUUCUUUUUGCAUCCUUUCCCGAUCUCGUUAUUGUAAGAAAUACUACUUUGAAUUUUAAGAAAUAAUAUACCUUUUUCUUCCAUUAAAAUUAUGAGUUCUAUCAAAUUCUAUAUUAAUUAAAUAGCUUGAAGUAUGUAUUAUGUUGACAUUAAUGAUUUUCCUGAUGCUAGACCCUUAUACAUGCUUCAAUAUCUGCGUUUUAAGUUUUUCCCUUGAUAUUUAACGAAAGCAUUAUUUACCUUUGUUUUGUUCAUUAUUAUCCUGAUUUUUGUUUCUCAGGUUACUGAUCUCAAAAUCUCGGUGGAUCUCUUGGAAAAGGAAAGAGACUUUUACUUUUCAAAACUACGAGACAUAGAAAUUCUUUGUCAGACAACAGAACUGGAGAAUGAACCUGUAAGAAUUGUGGCAAAGGCUUGCAGUUUAGUUAAUUUUACUUUUACAUUUCAAAACUGAGGUCGUAUAAUGAACGAUUUUCUUUUACCUAAAUUUCCUAAUACCUUCGAUUGUCUCGAAAUUUCCUAAUACCUUCAAUUGCCUAAAUUUCUGAAAGGUCGUUUAAUGAAUGAUUUUCUUCAAUUAGAAAACAUUUGGCUGUGGCAAUGACAUAUAUUGUUCACAGGUUAGGUUUAGUGUAUGCAAUAAGGUGUUUUCUACUUCUACGUCCAUGUCAAUUCGGUGUUUCUCCCUCUUCAAAUACUACAUGGAUUGUAACCGCUAUGUUUCUCAAAAUUGUAUAUGUUUGCUUUGUAUGAUCCAGCUUGAAAAUGUGUUAUGUAUUGGUGUUGAAGAUAGUUACAAUUCUUCAUAUAUAUUUAAAAAUAUAUGAAGAUUUUGUGCCUAGAUCUAGGUUAAUAAUGAAAAUACUCGAUCAUGUUGUGGUUCAUAUAUUAUUUGAAUUUUGACCAUCUAUGGCUGUUAUACUCUUAGCAGUCAUUGAAAAUGAAUUAAAUAAAGAAUGCAUGUGUAAUGUGUUACUACUUUAUGCAGAUAUCUGUAGCAAUUAAGAAGAUUUUGUAUGCUGCUGAUGCAAAAGAGUCAGCAUUAGAUGAAGCACAGGCUUACAUUAGUCAAACUUUGGAUGGUGAUGAAGAUGAAGAUGAACCAGAAACUGAAGCCUGAUUACUCACUCACACAGCUUUUUAGCUAUUUUUUCUCUCCUUGUAAGCCUGGAUGGAUAAUCAGUGGAUAUUUUGGUUAAUUCCAAUAAACAAAGUUCAUUUCAUCAACUAUUUUGAAAAUAUCCCAUUGUAUUUUAGAUGUAUAUUAGGUCGUCUCUGAUGUUUCAAAUUAGCCACUGCCAUGCUUUUUGAAUAAUUACAUGCAUGUCUGUUUCCAUGGUGGGAUUAUUCUCAAUCCUACUGCAAAACCAAACAUAUGCUUAUACGAGGAGGGGAAUGGAAGUCAGUAUUUCAUGAGUCACUUAAUUUUGGCUCUCUUCCAAUAUUUGGGGAGAAAUAAUUUGGAAGAGAUGAGUUUUGAUUUUUUUCAAGUUUUAAAAUAUGUUCAAUAAAUAAUGUUAAAUAAAGAUUAUAAGAAUGAAAAAAGAGUUAAAUAUAUUCAAAAUUUCUAUGAAGAUGAAAAACCGAAAGAGUGAAAUUGCUUAGAUGAUAUGGAUUACAACCGAAAGAUUAAAACAAAAUUACAAGCAACUAUACCACGCCGCACCAUUUGUUUCAAGUGUCGUGAAGAUGAAGAUUACUGUGCAUUUAAAUAGCCCAGCCUUUUCUCACUGAACUAAUCGGAGCCAAACACUCCUGUACCUCAAUCAACGUCCCAAACACAUUAUUCGUCCCUUGAAUAGUGUCUACUUGAUUUAAUUUGACUACAUCCUCCUACUAUGUGUCACAAUGAUAUUUUUUGUUGGUUAGGUUUGCGGGUUUAAAAUAUUAAAUCUGAUAUUUGAAUCAAACAUCAUUGGUUUAAAUAGGUUAGUUUGGGUUAGACCUGAACUUGAAUGG
rnacentral:lncRNA from 1 species